GACGAACGCUGGCGGCGUGCUUAACACAUGCAAGUCGAACGGGCCUGUCUUCUUUUUUGGGGGUGGGUUGAGUGGCGAACGGGUGAGUAUCACGUGAGUAACCUGCCCUUCGGUCCUGGAUAACCGCUUGAAAGGGCGGCUAAUACGGGGUGGUCCGGUUGGUCCGCAUGGGCUGGUCGGGAUAGAUUCACUGUUUUUGGUGUUUCGGCGGGGGAUGGGCUCGCGGCCUAUCAGCUUGUUGGUGGGGUGAUGGCCUACCAAGGCGGUGACGAGUAGCCGGCCUGAGAGGGUGGGCGGCCACACUGGGACUGAGAUACGGCCCAGACUCCUGCGGGAGGCAGCAGUGGGGGGUAUUGCACAAUGGGCGGAAGCCUGAUGCAGCGACGUCGCGUGAGGGAGGGAGGCCUUCGGGUUGUGAACCUCUGUUUCCGGUGGUGAAGGCCCUGUCCGUGUGGUGGGGUUGACGGUAGCCGGGGAUGAAGCGCCGGCUAACUACGUG
rnacentral:rRNA from 1 species